UACGGAGGAUCCGAGCGUUAUCCGGAUUUAUUGGGUUUAAAGGGUGCGCAGGCGGGAGAUUAAGUCGGCGGUGAAAUUUUGCAGCUCAACUGUAAAAGUGCCUUCGAAACUGGUUUCCUUGAGUGUAGAUGAAGUAGGCGGAAUUUGUGGUGUAGCGGUGAAAUGCAUAGAUAUCACGAGGAACUCCGAUUGCACAGGCAGCUUACUAAACUACUACUGACGCUCAGGCACGAAGGCGUGGGGAUCAAACAGGAUUAGAUACCCGGGUAGU
rnacentral:rRNA from 1 species